GCAUCCAUGGCUGAAUGGUUAAAGCACCCAACUCAUAAAUAACUAAUUCGUAGGUUCAAUUCCUACUGGAUGCA
rfam:Gossypium raimondii Chr02_contig_983, whole genome shotgun sequence.